rnacentral:rRNA from 1 species
GAUGAACGCUGACAGAAUGCUUAACACAUGCAAGUCAACUUGAACUUCGGUUUGGGUGGCGGACGGGUGAGUAACGCGUAAAGAACUUGCCUCACAGCUAGGGACAACAUUUGGAAACGAAUGCUAAUACCUGAUAUUAUGAUUAUAUGGCAUCGUAUAAUUAUGAAAGCUAUAUGCGCUGUGAGAGAGCUCUGCGUCCCAUUAGCUAGUUGGAGAGGUAACAGCUCACCAAGGCGAUGAUGGGUAGCCGGCCUGAGAGGGUGAUCGGCCACAAGGGGACGGAGACACGGCCCGUACUCCUACGGGAGGCAGCAGUGGGGAAUAUUGGACAAUGGACCGAGAGUCUGAUCCAGCAAUUCUGUGUGCACGAUGAAGUUUUUCGGAAUGUAAAGUGCUUUCAGUUGGGAAGAAAAAAAUGACGGUACCAACAGAAGAAGUGACGGCUAAAUACGUG